UACAGAGGGGGCAAGCGUUGUUCGGAAUUACUGGGCGUAAAGGGCGCGUAGGCGGCCUGUUAAGUCGAACGUGAAAUCCCCGGGCUCAACCCGGGAACUGCGUCCGAUACUGGCAGGCUUGAAUCCGGGAGAGGGAUGUGGAAUUCCAGGUGUAGCGGUGAAAUGCGUAGAUAUUCGGAAGAACACCAGUGGCGAAGGCGGCUCACUGGCCCGGUACUGACGCUCAGGUGCGAAAGCGUGGGGAGCAAACAGG
rnacentral:rRNA from 1 species